AUUGAACGCUGGCGGCCGGCCUAACACAUGCAAGUCGAGCGGAGCGGCGGACGGGUGAGUAAUGCCUAGGAAUCUGCCUGGUAGCGGGGGAUAACGUCCGGCAACGGGCGCUAAUACCUCAUACUUUCCGCUGAGCCUAGGUCGGAUUAGCUAGUGGGUGGGGUAAAGGCCUACCAAGGCGACGAUCCGUAACUGGUCUGCGAGGAUGAUCAGUCACACUGGAACUGAGACACGGUCCAGACUCCUACGGGAGGCAGAAGUGGGGAAUAUUGGACAAUGGGCGAAAGCCUGAUCCAGCCAUGCCGCGUGUGUGAAGAAGGUCUUAGGAUUGUAAAGCACUUUAAGUUGGGAGGCGUUACCAACAGAAUAAGCACCGGCUAACUUCGUGCCAGCAGCCGCGGUAAUUC
rnacentral:rRNA from 1 species